UCUUGAAGAGCUACGGACUUCUUUUGGUAAACCUUAGAUUGCUAACAAAAUUGAGGAUUAGCCAUCGAAAAACCGUUCCCACCUCCCUCUUAAAGAAAGUGCAAUCACAACAAUCUUAAUUUACAAGUCGAUGCACAUAAUGACUGACACGUAUGAGUAAUUCCAAAGAACUUACAAGAAAACACUACAACUAAUUAAUCCUGGGAAGCGACAGACUUUGAUCACAUCGCAUGAAGUACGAACUACAUAAUAAAUAAAUUCAAGCUUUCCGUGGUAUUCUCUUAGCACUGGCAGCUUCUAUUGAUUCCAGUUCUUCCACGACUUCAGCCAUGUAAGGCCGAAACUUAGGAUCCUUUUGGAGGCAUUUUAAGGCAAGCUGAGCUAUUUGGAAUGCAGAAUAUAU